CCCGCCACUACGCUGGUCUGCCGGUGACCUGGUGUAUUCCAGUGGUGUGCUAAGAGUAAAGACCCAUCUUAGGAAACAGGGUCACUCUCCAUGUGAUUGGCUCUGUGCCGAAAGACUGGGCACACAA